rnacentral:pre_miRNA from 1 species
UGAGUACUCCCUCCGUUCGGAAUUACUUGUCUCGGAAAUGGAUGUAUCUAGAACUAAAAUACAUCUAGAUACAUCCAUUUCUACGACAAGUAAUUCUGAACGGAGGGAGUAGAUG